GUGGCAGCAGGAUGGACCCUGAGGCCUAACCCUCACUUGUGGACCCUGGCCUCUGCAUAGCGGACUCUGUGAGGCAGACCUGGCUCAAUACAAUGGAGAAGCUGAUGGGAGGACUCCAGCCGGAGUGAGGGAGACCGCCCCUCUAGUGCACACCAUAGCUCAUUUGCAUGGCUUCCUGGAGUCCACAGCAGCAGUGCUCAACAACAGACAUCCAGAGUAACUUCUGCAGCAACCAGCGGGUCUUAAGGAAUUACCAGAUCUGGUUCUUGGCUUUGCUCCUUGACUCAGUCGACCUCCUACCCCUCACAGCAGGGUAAAGACUUGCACAUCACUGACAGACGGCUCGGAGUCAGCCUUGGAGUCGGCCUUCCAUGCCCAGCCCUGAGGCCACCACGCCACGUUCCAGUUGGCUCAAGCAGUGAGAGGCAAAACCAGCUCCAGGGCCAGGUGGAAGGGCUGCUUCUCUCCUGCCUCCAUCAAAUGCUGACCUUGCCUCUGAAUGACCAAGCAAAACAAAGGAAUAAAUG